rnacentral:RNase_MRP_RNA from 1 species
CUCUCGCUCAAAGAAUCGCAAUCAAAGCUUACCCACACAGAUCCCUCCGCUCGUUCUCCUUGAUCGAGUCAGGACGAUCUGGUUCACCUUGCUUUGGGAGAAAGUCCCCGGACGAACCCUUUUUUCUUUUUCUCUACGGGGGAAAAAAAAAAUAAGGGCAUUGCCUAAAGGCGCCGCCAUAAAAGCAAUUUACAGCGGCUUAUUGGAAAUGUCUUGGUUACCGAGAUGUUUCGUUUUCUUCUUUUCGUCGUGUGUCGAUAGUUAUGCGAUUGUCUGAUUCUCUUUUGUUUUGGUUUGAUUCAAAACAAAAUUGAGUCGGGUAACUCGAUGGGGCUUAUUCUUGAGGCGAGA